GAGUUAUAAAGAAAGGUGGAGAGAUUAGACUCUAUGAUACCUUGGCAACCCUGAUCUAUCAGAAGGUGCCUCAUUCUACCGUGUUUAAAAUGCGGCCAGAUAACGA
rnacentral:ncRNA from 2 species